AUUGAACGCUGGCGGCGUGCCUAACACAUGCAAGUCGUACGAGAAAGCCGGCUUCGGCUGGUGAGUAAAGUGGCGCACGGGUGAGUAACGCGUGGAUAAUCUGCCCUUAAGUGUGGAAUAACGUACCGAAAGGUGCGCUAAUACCGCAUAAUGCCUGGCAACACAAGUUGUCCGGCCAAAGAAGGCCUCUGUUUACAAGCUUUCGCUUCAGGAUGAGUCCGCGUACCAUUAGCUUGUUGGUGGGGUAAUGGCCUACCAAGGCUGCGAUGGUUAGCUGGUCUGAGAGGAUGAUCAGCCACACUGGAACUGAGACACGGUCCAGACUCCUACGGGAGGCAGCAGUGAGGAAUAUUGCGCAAUGGGGGCAACCCUGACGCAGCAACGCCGCGUGAGUGAGGAAGGUUUUCGGACUGUAAAGCUCUGUCGAGCGGGAAGAAGUGUACCAUGGCUAAUAUCCAUGAUAUUUGACGGUACCGCU
rnacentral:rRNA from 1 species